GUCGAUCGACCAYAUUGGGUCUGAAAAAAGCCCACGGCANAUAGUACAGCAGUGGGGUAUAUUGGUCAAUAGCCUAACGGCUGACCCAGCAACUUGGAAGAAUGUAUAAUGAAUAAGUCGUAUAAAGUUCUAGAUAGAAGAAUGAUUAUGACAAUUUUCUAUCUAUAAGUCUUGACCAAAUUACGUGCCAGCAGUCGCGGUAACACGUAGAAGACUAGUGUUAUUCAUCUUUAUUAGGUUUAAAGGGUACCUAGACGGAAAAUCAAGCCAUAAUAGGAACUAAUUUUCUAGAGUUUUAUGAAAGAAGGUGCGAAUUUCCGGAGGAAAGUUGAUAUUUUAUGAUACUGGAAGGACGGGUAACGGCGAAGGCAACCUUCUAUGUAAAAACUGACGUUGAGGGACGAAGCCUUGGGUAACGAAAAGGAUUAGAUACCCUAGUAGUCCUUGGAGAAAAUUAUGAAUGUCAUAGGUUAGAGGGAAAGUGAGUUAAUAGCAGCUUAGUUAUUGUGGUUAUGUAACCGUGCGUACAUUUCAACGGUUCAGAAUACAGAUAACUGAACCUUCAGCAACAAUUAAGACUUGUAUAGCUAUGCUAAACUGUAUUAGAAUUUGGUCUACACAAAUUGCUACUA
rnacentral:rRNA from 1 species